rnacentral:ncRNA from 1 species
AACGACCGGUCGGACACGCGUGCCCCUCAGCAGGCGGGCCCGGCCCACAAGUGGAGGCUCCGAACUCCCACCCGACUGUCCUCACGGACGGCGGGUCACCCCGGUCAGGCGGCCACCAUCGUUCCGUACGGACGAUGGAGUCGCCCGGUAGCGCGCCCCGCGUUCACGCGGCGGUGCUCCGGUAGUGCUUGGAGCCCCGCAGGUGAUCGUUCGGGGCAUUUUUU